rnacentral:rRNA from 1 species
UACGGAGGGUGCAAACGUUGCUCGGAAUCAUUGGGCGUAAAGAGCUCGUAGGCGGUGUGUCACGUCGGCCGUGAAAACUUGCAGCUUAACUGUGGGCGUGCGGUCGAUACGGGCAUCACUGGAGUUCGGCAGGGGAGACUGGAAUUCCUGGUGUAGCGGUGAAAUGCGCAGAUAUCAGGAGGAACACCGGUGGCGAAGGCGGGUCUCUGGGCCGAUACUGACGCUGAGGAGCGAAAGCGUGGGGAGCAAACAGG